rnacentral:lncRNA from 10 species
UGAAAGAGUUCCCCCAAUAAACCUCCUGUACUCAGUCCUCUACCAAGAGUCUGCUUCCGGGGGAAUUUGCCCUAAGAUAGUCGUAACAGGACUGGCCCUAGGAAGGAGACUCUAAAAUGAUAUUUUGGAGCUCCAUCAUCCACUUGCUGGUUUACAAUGAUCUCAUCAUAGACAGCAGGUUAUAUCGAUAGCAUCAUAUUAAAUGAAUCAGACAAACAAGAAAUGGAAGGGCUCUGCACCAGGUCCAGCCUGUGGUACAGGCAGAUGAGCCACUUGGGACAUAACAUGUAGUAAUUUUUACAGCACUAGAGGGAAGAGCAUCUCUCUCAGAGGAGGCACUGAACAGCCAAAUACACAGAAGAACUUGUUCGGUUGACAUCCUUCCAUCAGCUUCUGCUAUUGGCCACCUGGAUGCUGGUAAAAUGGGCAGAGAGGUAUAUCAGCCACAACUGUAAACUGGAGAGAACAAGAGCCUCCUAUCCUCUAGGAUUGCUGAAAAAGGAUAUAGUCUCUAAUCUGACUUUCAUCAGUAAUGAAGAUCGUUUUUAUUUUUAAAUUUGAUCUGCCUACUAUGUCUAGUGCUCCUUUGAUUCCAAACUCAAAUAGGAACAACACCAAAAAACAGUAUGAGUUACUGUCCACUCCCUAAACCUGCAACACUAACAGAAGAGUGCUAUUUCCUCCAAUAACUGUUCACUUCCUUCCUAUGACACGUAAGAUACCUAUGAGCAACCCAGAAGGGGGCUACAAUAGAGAUACUGUUAGGGCUGAUUAUGUAUGAUUCUCGAAGCGCUAGCUUGACCUCUACCUUAAAUAAAACGUAAAGAUAUACUUUCAAAACCAUCCCUGAGUAAACUGUAAGUAAGCCAGUGGGCAUUUGGAGAAUCAGGUGGACUCCAGGAGAGAUUGAUAGCAGAAGAACUUUGAACUUGUCCUCUGGGCGGAGGUUGCUGGAAUGGAGCUAAAUUACAAUGAAGAGAGCA